UACGAAGGGGGCUAGCGUUGCUCGGAAUUACUGGGCGUAAAGGGCGCGUAGGCGGACAGUUUAGUCAGAGGUGAAAGCCCAGGGCUCAACCUUGGAAUUGCCUUUGAUACUGGCUGUCUUGAGUUCGGGAGAGGUGAGUGGAAUGCCGAGUGUAGAGGUGAAAUUCGUAGAUAUCAAGCGGAACACCGGUGGCGAAGGCGGCCUUCUGGACAGUGACUGACGCUGAGACGCGAAAGCGUGGGGAGCAAACAGG
rnacentral:rRNA from 1 species